CGUGUUGAUUAUUAUUAGGCCUUGGGCACUUCAAAUGAUGCAACUACGGUUAGGUUAGGGUUUUGGGCAAUACAAGUUUGAUAAGGUCGCAAUCUCUAUAUAAUAGGCGAGCUCGAAGGAGGUUUCGACUAUAAAAAAUAUAUGCGGCGCUUUACAAAGGGAUCAAACAUCAAGGGCUAGAGGCAUCUACUGCUGUAAUGGCUUGGAGAAGCAGGAAUUCAAUUCUGGUUUAAAAUUUUAGCAGCGUACUCUGAUGUUGAUCUCUUUUUGCUUUUUGACUUUCUGUAAGGCCUGUACUAAAUUUUGAGUGUCUGUAGCUGGAGCAUUCUGAUUUACGGUUGAGCAAUGUCAAUGCUUAAUACCUUCAAUAGAUAAAGAAGGUUUGGGUGAUUCA